rnacentral:rRNA from 1 species
AUUGAACGCUGGCGGCAGGCCUAACACAUGCAAGUCGAGCGGAUGAAGGGAGCUUGCUCCUGGAUUCAGCGGCGGACGGGUGAGUAAUGCCUAGGAAUCUGCCUGGUAGUGGGGGAUAACGUCCGGAAACGGGCGCUAAUACCGCAUACGUCCUGAGGGAGAAAGUGGGGGAUCUUCGGAACUCACGCUAUCAGAUGAGCCUAGGUCGGAUUAGCUAGUUGGUGGGGUAAAGGCCUACCAAGGCGACGAUCCGUAACUGGUCUGAGAGGAUGAUCAGUCACACUGGAACUGAGACACGGUCCAGACUCCUGCGGGAGGCAGCAGUGGGGAAUAUUGGACAAUGGGCGAAAGCCUGAUCCAGCCAUGCCGCGUGUGUGAAGAAGGUCUUCGGAUUGUAAAGCACUUUAAGUUGGGAGGAAGGGCAGUAAGUUAAGACCUUGCUGUUUUGACGUUACCAACAGAAUAAGCACCGGCUAACUUCGUG